UGACUGUGAAUUUGCCGUAGCCGGUAGGGUUUGAGGGGGCGUUGCGAAAUGCGGAUAGGAGUGAGCGGCAUAGUUUGGGGUAAACGGAGGUUUUGCAGGCAAUUGAAGGGGCUUGAGUUUGUCCUGCUGGUGGUGGUGGUGGGGCUUGAGUCUGUGCUUGCGGCGGCGGCGGCGGUGGUGGUGUUGGAACUUGAGUCUGUGCUUGCUGUGGUGGUGGUGGUGAUGUUGGUGGGGCUUGAGUUUGUGCUUGGGGUGGUGGGGGUGGUGUUAGUUGGGCUUGAGUGAUGAGUAUGAGUUGUAACAAUACAGGAAGAAGAACGAUGAAGAUGAAAGCUAAGGAGCUUUUUAGCAGCUGCGACAUUUUAUCUUUUCUUAUACAAAGCGGGGAAGCUGAUGGAGAGAGACUAGCUGGGGAUGCAAUGUGUGUUCAAGUGAAAGUGCGGGGAUUAUAUAGGCCGGAGUCAUGGGACAGGGUCACAGGGCUGCAGGGGACGUGGGAAGAAGGAAACGCGUUAAGCAGUGGAGUAACAUGCAAAUACGAUAUGUGCUCCGUUAUCGUAUAUUCACAUGUACUAUGUAGUGGUCAUAUUUAAAUAACGUACCUAAAAAUAUCUCACUCAAAUUUAUUUGUAUUCAAGUCAGAAAGUGUGCUCAAAUUUGUAUCCCUUACAAAUAGAUUAAUGGAUUACGGUCUGAUAUCGGCUUCAUUCGGUGACGGACACACAAAUAAAUUUAAUACAAACACAAUAUUUGAAAAUAAAUAUGAUGAAAAUUGAUCUAUUACACGGAGUACAUUACUUUAUCUUACUAUAAACUAAUUCAAUUAUAACUUUAAAUUUUAAUCGACCGGGAAUUCAAAAAAUAAUUAUAAUAUAGUUCUUAGUAAAUAUUAUUUGUAGAAUACACUAAGUUAAAUCUAGCAUAUAUACCUAUACUAUUAAAACCGAACAUUAAAAAUUUGGUCGCCGAAAUACAGUCUAUCUAUAUAAUUAAUAAUUAAUCUUUAAUUUAAAUGAUCUUUUGCUUGGAUUUUUUCAAGUAGCGGUUGAUGGUUUUCGAGAGCCUUUUAGCUUGUUUGAGGCUUUGUUUGACUGUGAAUUUGCCGUAGCCGGUAGGGUUUGAGGGGGCGUUGCGAAAUGCGGAUAGGAGUGAGCGGCAUAGUUUGGGGUAAACGGAGGUUUUGCAGGCAAUUGAAGGGGCUUGAGUUUGUCCUGCUGGUGGUGGUGGUGGGGCUUGAGUCUGUGCUUGCGGCGGCGGCGGCGGUGGUGGUGUUGGAACUUGAGUCUGUGCUUGCUGUGGUGGUGGUGGUGAUGUUGGUGGGGCUUGAGUUUGUGCUUGGGGUGGUGGGGGUGGUGUUAGUUGGGCUUGAGUGAUGAGUAUGAGUUGUAACAAUACAGGAAGAAGAACGAUGAAGAUGAAAGCUAAGGAGCUUUUUAGCAGCUGCGACAUUUUAUCUUUUCUUAUACAAAGCGGGGAAGCUGAUGGAGAGAGACUAG
rnacentral:lncRNA from 1 species